rnacentral:tRNA from 1 species
UUAAUUGAAACCAAAUAGAGUUAUAUUAUUGUUAAUAAUAGAAUUGAAAUUUUAAAGUCUCCAAUUUGA